rnacentral:rRNA from 1 species
CGAAACCGAUAGCGAACAAGUACCGUGAGGGAAAGUUGAAAAGUACUCUGAAUAGAGAGUUAAAUAGUACGUGAAACCGCUUAGGGGUUAAGCCCGAUGAACCCGAAUAUCUGAUGUGAGAAAUUCAAUACUGUUUGAGCUAUUUUCUUAUAGUUUCGUAUAGUAUGCACUUUUCUCAUAGUAAGACAUUGUAAUCCAUUGAUGUUAUAUCUCUUUAUUGAGAUGAUUUAACAUACGGACAAAAUGUUUAUGAUUAUUCUAUCAGUGAUAUGUUUACAUGUCAUAUGAAUAAAAUCGUUUUGUACCUGUUUAAAUAGUCGAUGGAUUUUAUGAGAAUCAUGCUUGCAAUUUAUUUUGCGUUUCGUAUUAUUAAUUUUUAAUUGGUAAUAGCAGAAAUGGCAUGUAUUUGAUUAACAAUGCGAUAGAUUUGGGAUACUUUC